AGGGUGACAGUCCUCGGGACCCUGCUGCGGGGGCUCGCGAAGGCGGGGUUCGAUGGAGUGUAACUCG
rnacentral:precursor_RNA from 1 species